rnacentral:rRNA from 1 species
UUGUGAACGUACCCGUCAGCGUUGCCUCGGCGGGCGGCCCCUCCCUGGGGCCGCUGCCUCCCUCGGGGGGUGCCCGCCGGCGUACCAAAACUCUUUUGUAUUUUAGUGGCCUCUCUGAGAAAACAAGCAAAUAAGUUAAAACUUUCAACAACGGAUCUCUUGGUUCUGGCAUCGAUGAAGAACGCAGCGAAAUGCGAUAAGUAAUGUGAAUUGCAGAAUUCAGUGAAUCAUCGAAUCUUUGAACGCACAUUGCGCCCGCCAGUACUCUGGCGGGCAUGCCUGUUCGAGCGUCAUUUCAACCCUCAAGCCCUGCUUGGUGUUGGGGUCCUACGGCUGCCGUAGGCCCUGAAAGCUAGUGGCGGGCUCGCUAUAACUCCGAGCGUAGUAGUAAAAUAUCUCGCUAGGGAGGUGUCGCGGGUUCCGGCCGUGAAAGCCCAUCUUUUACACAAGGUUGACCUCGGAUCAGGUAGGAAUACCCGCUGAACUUAAGCAUAU